AUGUUUCCAUUCAAGUUCAAGAGGAAGCAAUUUCCCGUAAGGCUUAGCUUUGCUAUGACGAUUAACAAGGCUCAAGGACAGACGAUUCCGAUCGUUGGCGUGUACCUACCUAAUCCGGUGUUCUCUCAUGGUCAACUCUAUGUCGCAUUGUCUCGAGCCACCGCGAAGAGAAACAUAAAGAUCCUCAUUGAGAAGGAGAAAGAGAAGGAGAAUGGCAAGAAGCAAAGCACUAAACCAAAGAAGCGAAAAAGACCUGCCUUGUCCUUACAGACCUCGAUGAAGAACAUCGUCUAUAAGGAAGUCCUUACAGGCUGA
rnacentral:rRNA from 1 species